AAGAGUGAUGACAUUGUAUUACACAUAAAGUGACUAGCGUAGCGAUGCUGUCUACUUAUUAUACCAUCUUUCGGGGCUGACC
rnacentral:snoRNA from 1 species